rnacentral:rRNA from 1 species
UACGUAGGGUGCGAGCGUUGUCCGGAAUUAUUGGGCGUAAAGGGCUCGUAGGCGGUCUGUUGCGUCGGGAGUGAAAACUCAGGGCUUAACCCUGAGCCUGCUUCCGAUACGGGCAGACUAGAGGUAUGCAGGGGAGAACGGAAUUCCUGGUGUAGCGGUGAAAUGCGCAGAUAUCGGGAAGAACACCCGUGGCGAAGGCGGCACUCUGGGACGGUACUGACGCUGAGACGCGAAAGCGUGGGGAGCGAACAGG